GUCCUGCUCCCUUGAGGUCCCAGGAGUCGAGCCCUGGCUGAACACACUGCUGGCACAUGGGAGAUGUGGCUGGUCUCUGAAAUCAGCCACCCUUUUGCAGAUGAAGACAUCAUUAUCCAGAAAGAUGAAGUUGUCAGAGGGGAUACAAUUAUUAAACGGAACUGAUAAGGGAUGAUCAAAAUUCAGUGGUGCAUGAUCAAGCAGCUGCAAAAUACCAUUAAGGAUUCAAGGCCUAAGAUUCUUUCUCUUUCCCCACUUGGCGAAUUUGAUCUGAAAGCUUUCCCUUCAUGUCUUGGGUGGCUGCCAGGAGCAAUUUAAGCCUCAUAGGUCCUUGCCAUCGUUCCAGCGUGUGCAGUGGAUGAUGGGGAUUCUCCUCCAAUCGCAUCUGAUCAAGUCAGGUCGCACCACAAGCCAAGGACCAAACAAGAUGGAAGCUCCCGGGCUCAGCCUUUUCCACCUCCCACAGGACAUCACUGUCCCGGAGCUCCUAGCUGAGGAGGCAGAGUGUGCAGAUCUGCGGCAUGGACUGUGGGUUCCUCCUGCCCUGUCCUCCUUCCUCCCAUCUUCCUCUCGCUGUGUUGCGAGACUCCUGCUCAGCACCUGCCUCCUGGAGAACCCAACCUGCAGUAGCACAGUGAUGGUGGCUGUGUGUCUCCAGCCAACCGGGUGCCCUGAACCUCCACAGGACUUGUCUCUUAUCACCUGUGCUCCACUCCUUCUGCUAAAAUUCCUUUGUUAGUCCUCUGAUCCAGUCCGUUCUUUUUUUUUCCUUCUCUUCUCUCUCUCUGUUUUUGUUUGUUUUGCCAGUACUAGAGAUUGAACCCAGAGCUUUCACGAUGGGAGCAAUUGACAACCCCAAGCUUUCCCCCCCCUUUUUUUUUUUUUUCAUUUUUCAUUUUGAAACAGGUCUUACUAUGUCAGUAUGUUUCCUGAUCUAUGCUAGAACUUGAAAUCUUCCUGCCUCAGCUUCCCAGAGUGCUGGGAUUACAAGUUUGUGCAUCACCAUCCCUGGCCUAAUCAAUCCUUAGUCCAACAGCCACCACUUUGUAUUCUGAACCAAAGUUAGCCUGAUUUAUCCCCACCCUUAAGCCCUUCCCCAGACCUGGGAUAGCUAUAGUAAAAUGUCCUUUCUUCUCUCUUGCUGAAUCCACUGAAAACCUGAAAUCUGGGUUUAAUGUCUAGUGACAAAUCCAUGCUAUCUAACUUUAAUUGGGCACUCGGGCUGA